UACGGGGGGGGCAAGCGUUGUUCGGAAUUACUGGGCGUAAAGGGUUUGUAGGUGGCUUGCUAAGUCAGACGUGAAAUCCCUCAGCUUAACUGGGGAACUGCGUCUGAGACUGGCGAGCUUGAGUGCAGGAGAGGAACGCGGAAUUCCAGGUGUAGCGGUGAAAUGCGUAGAUAUCUGGAGGAAUACCGGUGGCGAAGGCGGCAUCCUGGACCGAUAUUGACACUGAGGAGCGAAAGCCAGGGGAGCAAACGGG
rnacentral:rRNA from 1 species